rnacentral:misc_RNA from 1 species
UGUGAACGUUACCAAACUGUUGCCUCGGCGGGAUCUCUGCCCCGGGUGCGUCGCAGCCCCGGACCAAGGCGCCCGCCGGAGGACCAACCAAAACUCUUAUUGUAUACCCCCUCGCGGGUUUUUUUAUAAUCUGAGCCUUCUCGGCGCCUCUCGUAGGCGUUUCGAAAAUGAAUCAAAACUUUCAACAACGGAUCUCUUGGUUCUGGCAUCGAUGAAGAACGCAGCGAAAUGCGAUAAGUAAUGUGAAUUGCAGAAUUCAGUGAAUCAUCGAAUCUUUGAACGCACAUUGCGCCCGCCAGUAUUCUGGCGGGCAUGCCUGUCCGAGCGUCAUUUCAACCCUCGAACCCCUCCGGGGGGUCGGCGUUGGGGAUCGGCCCUCCCUUAGCGGGUGGCCGUCUCCGAAAUACAGUGGCGGUCUCGCCGCAGCCUCUCCUGCGCAGUAGUUUGCACACUCGCAUCGGGAGCGCGGCGCGUCCACAGCCGUUAAACACCCAACUUCUGAAAUG